AAUCAACGCUGGCGGCGUGCCUCAGACAUGCAAGUCGAACGAUUAAAGCUCUCUUCGGAGAGUGUAUAGAGUGGCGCACGGGUGAGUAACACGUAAGUAAUCUACCUUCGAGUGGGGAAUAACGUCCGGAAACGGACGCUAAUACCGCAUAAUGCAGCGGCAUCGCAAGAUGACAGUUGUUAAAGAUUUAUCGCUUGAAGAGGAGCUUGCGGCAGAUAGCUAGUUGGUAAGGUAAUGGCUUACCAAGGCUACGAUCUGUAACCGGUCUAAGAGGACGGUCGGUCACACUGACACUGAACAACGGGUCAGACUCCUACGGAGGCAGCAGUCGGGAAUUUUGGGCAAUGGGCGAAAGCCUGACCCA
rnacentral:rRNA from 1 species